UAGGCACUGGAGCGCAUGUAAAGGUAUGUCAGGUUGCAACAUCAUGUAGAGCAAGCAGGGGAUUCCACCACUUAAGCAGGGGUGCCUUUUCCCCCCUUAUUUAUUUCAGUUUUAAAUAUUUUAUAGCCAAAAUAGUAAAGAAGUACAAGUUUAAUAGAGGAGAUAAGCCUUUCACUGAGUUGUUUUUUGUGUCUCCUCAGGAAAGACAAGACUUAAAUCUCUACUUUCUUGUUAAGCAUUGUGGAAAAAAAAGACAAAAGGAGGAUGGAAAUGUACGUUUGAAAAGCUUUUCACACCCCCAUCUGCCUAUCAACUGACUCCAUUCUUCAACUUGACAUCAUUCUUCCACAGACAAGAAGAAGAAGAAGAAGAAGAAGGAGGAGGAGGAGGAGGAGGUGGAGAAGCAGUGUCGGGGAGGCAAACAAAACAGACAGAGAAAGAGGAGGAAGAGCAAAGAGGAGGUGGGCAGCACAGUUUCAGCACUCACAGGGCUGAGGAGGAGAAAGUGAAAACAAAGAGAAGUUGGCCACUAGUGAGAUGAAAUUCUGGGAAGAGACGCUGGAGCGCUUCAGGGUACGAUAUCCACUGAGAGCCCUGAAAUUGGACUGCCUGGAAGACAAGCCAGCCCUCUCUGGAUCCUGUGCCCCUCCACAGCCAAAGGAUGAGAGGGGUUUACUUUCACCUUAGUUGCCAGGGAUGUCUGUGCACUACGGAAAGGCAUCCCCCUCCAGCAUGCCCAAUGCUAUGUUAUUCCUGAUGCUUUGCAAGACUGGUCAGAGACGGAAACUGCAGACUUUUCCUGGGAAAAUGGUAAACAAUCUACACAGUGAUGAGGAAAAGGGAAUCCAAGACAAGGAAAGUAAGGAGGAGAGCAUCUUGGCCAUGUUGGGCAUCAUUGGGACUGUCCUCAACUUGGUAGUCAUUAUCUUUGUCUACAUUUACACCACCCUGUAGAUUUUACAGUACUUUAAACGCAGCAGAAUAGAGCUGUCCGUGCCACUGCUGCAUAGCUAUAUUGACUGAUCUAGUUAUGAGGUUGACAGGAGGUGCGAUAAAAACGCCUACCUUCCCUGGAGGUGAACUGGAUCUAAGACUUUGUGAUCGCCAAAUGGCAUCAAUCCUGCAUCUCUUCAAACAGCCGAGACUAUGGGAAAUCAGCUUGUACCUCUUCGAUUUACAGCUGGAAAUAUCCAGAAUACCUUUAGUACACUUGUACAUUAACGCAUGAAGAUGGCAAGAGACGCUUAAAGGAUGCAGCUUUUUACCAACAAAGGGACUUCAGAGGCUGCAAAGAAAGCAUGGAUACUUUUGGAAAUUGUUUUUUUCCUCAAAUGAUUAACUGAAAAAUGGAAAUAUUACUGAUUUGCUGACAUGGGUUAAGGAGAAUAUGUACAGCGAAGGUACACACAGGUAUCUGCUUUGGUGUUUGUUGGUUUUUCUUAAUGAAUAUCUCAGUGAAACACAAUGUCAAUCUGUUUGUAUAAGAUCAAAACUGACUUCAUGUUUUUAUACUGUAUUUAUAUUUUUUCUGUAAUAAUUGACUUUGGAGAGUAGAUUAUUGAAGAGGUGACUAAUCAACUGAAAAUGGGUUACAUUCAAAUGGUUUUAAGUAGUUUAACCUGCACAUACUGCAGUGAUACAUAAUAUGGUGUUUUGAACAGGCAUUCAGUCAGUUUUAAAGUGCUAUCCAUGAACAUGUGCACUUGGAAAUGUGGUUCAAAUGGAAGAUCAGAAAGAGUGGUUUUAAUUAAGUUGCAAUGUCAUGCCACAUUUUAAUGUUUCACUUCACUUUUUAUUACUUCAGCGUCAUUCAUUGGUGAGAAACUUAUCUUAACAUUUGGUAAAGUCUCAGCUCGGAAGGCGGAGGACUGACUAGGUUGACUUUGAGUUCAGAUCAUGGGUAACACUUUAAUCUGUUCACCUGAAGGUCUAUAUAGAAUUUACACAACACGACAGCAAAGGAUAGUCUCCAUUUGUAUCUAUUAUUAUCAGUUUACAAUAUUCAAAAUGUUGACUUGUGUACAAUGAAUAUACUGUAUGCCUUAAAAUGUAAGGGAAUAACUAUUUCCAUGAUGUGUUAUCAGGUAAUUGCUACUUCGUGAAAGGAAACACUUGCUGUAUUUAUGUGUUCUUUGAUGCCUAUGACAUGUUUUUAAUUCUGAAAGUAUGUUUUAAUUUAUUGGGUAAUUCUUAAAUGAUUCUUCUUUGCCUGAAACAACUUGCAAACCCUUUGACUUCUUAAAUCAUGACCAUGUGAAAUUUCUAGAACUAGGUCAAUUUCUUUCAAUCAUUUUGACUAUUUCUGGGCAAUACUGUGAAUGUUGUUAAAUUGAUGUAAUCACAGAAGAAUUAUGAGUGACUUUUGGUCUCAAGUCAAAAAAUAUUUCCAUCUGAAAGGCUCUGAGGUUCCAUUUUUAAUUAGAUACGGUAGUAGUUCAACAGUUUGGGAAAUGCACUAUGAGUCUCUGCUGGUUGAAUUCUGUGAACUUUUCAUGAAUUUACAACCGUUGUACAUUAGGCACUGAUAGCCGUAUGUUUCACCUUUGGACAGACCUAUGCUAGGCAUUUCUACCAUUUACAUUCUUUUUGCUAAGCUGAUCGUCUUUGGCAGCCCACUUGCAGCAAAUGAUGUAAAAGUAAUGGGACUUCGGAACUGCAUGCAUUGCAAACACUAAAGUCCAAUAUUAGAUUGUGAUAACUCAUCCGUUUAGACCUUAUGAAGGAUAAUCAUUAUUCACAAGAAUGCGUGUAGUUGACCUGAUUGAUGGGCAGGCAAGGUGUAGCUGUUUGUCAAGAGGCUUAUGAUCCACCUCAGCUUCUGCUCUUGGACUGUAGUUAGGGUGAGACAGCAUUUCCAAAAUGCCGAUUGUCAUCAACGGGCUUCCAAAGCCCCCUGCAGUUCACAGUUAAGUGACGUCUAUUCACAUCAACUACAUGCUGCUUACUGUUACCAUGACGGUGGUCAACUCACUAUUGUUACGAUGGUGGACCAUUUGGAAAGAUAAUCCAAAAAAAGGUCACCAGACCCUGCUCUUCAUGUUGCUUCAUCCUACCAAACUUAAUUAAAAAACAUCUCAAUUAAGUCUUUUAAUAGAGUUUUCAUUGUGCAACUUAAACUUGGACAUGCCUCCCCUCCACAGUUUUUACAGUAAAGUCAAUCUCUCUUUACAGCUUCUUCAUAAAAAUGCAGAUUUGUAGGCGUAGGAAUAGAUUUUUGUAUCAGAGUGAUCUGGUUUAUGUUUGUAGUCUGAGAAGUAUCGUCCACUGGUGUUUUAGUAGACAUUGGUUAUUUGCAGGAAAACACGCAUAUGGAGAGCAAAUUGGGGGCAAAACAAUCACCCGGAAUUAAAUCAUCGAACCACAAUUAGCCUUUAGAAAAGGUCUACCUAAUACAAAUACUGCUUAUAAUACCCCUGACUAUCACUAACCGCUAGCUACACCAGUCGCCCCAAAAAGUCGACAGAAGCAGAUAUCAUCAUGCUCAGAAAAUAGUCAAUGGUUUCAAUUGAACUUCUGUGUAUCUUGGUGACUCACAACAAUGUAUUAUUUGUGUUAGGAUUUGUAUGAACAACUGGCUUUGGCUUCAAACUUAUAAUCUGACUCUGUAUGAAUGCAAUAAGCAUACUUUCCAAAAUGUCAAUCAAUCGGAAGUCUUUAAUUAUUAAUGUACCAUAUUUACAGCUUGUAGGGCUACAUGACAACAGGCUAUUCACAAUAAUAUUUGUUUUUAUCGGUCAACAACCUCAUUGUUUCAGAAAGUGCCUAAGAUCAAAGCGUCUCAACCUCAGCUGUCUUAAGGUGAAGGAAAAACUAACCAGUGAGAGGAAGACUUUAGCAGAAAAACCUGCCCCCUGAUCCACUUGCCAUUCAUUCAUUCAUUCAUUCAUUCAUAAAAGGACUUGAUUUCUACUUCACAAUCAAGUUAAUCAAUUAUUGCUUUUUUUUUUUGUCUUGGUGAGGUGCUUUUUCAACAGUAUCAGGAAAACGAAGGCCUAGAAAGCACAUGGACAAGUCUUACGAAUGUAUUCAUAUUCAAUGUAAAAAUGGAUUAAACUUAUGGUUUAUUUAUGUUCUCUUAAUAUGUAAUAUGUAUUUAUUAUCAUGUUUUAUUUAUUUAUGUGUAUGCUAUUUCAAAUAAACUAAUUUAAUAUUCU